UACCUUUCUUCCUGAGCCCUCGCAGACUAUAUUCAGAGCGCCGGUUCGCCGGCUAUGGAAAUAAACGGCCGUCGUAAUAAACCAUUCGGACCCGGGGGCAGUACCCGGCGCCUCCACCAGAUCCCGACCCGAACCCAUGAUACGCAUAAAUUUGGCGGGUUCCGGCGGGGGCGAAACAGGAUCGACGAGGGCGUAAAGGGCUCGCUUUUUCUCGGUAUGGUUCCGCCGUUAUCGGGCUAUGCAAUAGUUGCAAACGACAACUAUGCUCCGGUUGCUCAGGCUGCGUAACGCAGUUUGAAAGACCAUUCUGAAGUCCUGACGGGUUAAGCUCCGUCAGGCGGGGUUCGGAGGCACCUGGCAACAGAAGCCUCCACU
rnacentral:tmRNA from 19 species